rfam:Nicotiana attenuata strain TT chromosome 5, whole genome shotgun sequence.
GGUUCCUUCGGAGUCAUCCAAUAAAAUUGGAAUGAUACAAAGAAAAUUAGCAUGGCCCUUACUGCUCAAGGAUGACAUGCACAAAUCGACAAAUGGUCUACAUUUUU